GCGUAUAAGUUGUUGCACACGGUGGAUGCCUUCGGCGUCAGGAGCUGAAUGAAGGACAUGGAAGUGCGAUAAGCCUCGGGAGCUGAUAAAGGCGCUCUGAUCCGGGGUUCCGAAUGGGUAACCCGGCUGCGUGUUAUGCGUAGUCACUCGUAUCUAAUUCAUAGGUGAGGAGACGUGGGGAAGUAGAAACGUCUCAGUACCCAUAGGAAGAGAAAACGGACAGUAAUUCCGUGAGUAGUGGCGAGCGAAAGCGGAUGGUGGCUAAACCGGUUGUGUGAUACCUGGCGAGGGUUGCAUGAUCGGGGUUGUGGGAUGCGUUGUUCCUGGGGUCGCCACCCUGGGCGCUGUGGCGUGGUGGUAGUCGAACUGGUGGUGAGUGCCAGACCGUGGGGUGUCGUCCCGUAGCAGAACUCUCAUUGUCGUGGUGUAACGUAUCCCCGCGGGUCGCGCGGGGCCCGUGAAAUCUCGUGUGAGAUCUGCCAGGACCACCUCGGUAAGCCUGAAUCUCCUGAUGACCGAUAGCAGGAUCGUGCGUGGGAAUGGUGAAAAGUACCCCGGGAGGAGGAGUGAAAUAGUACCUGAAACCGUGUGCUUACAAGCCGUUGGAGCCUUUAGGGGUGACGGCGUGCCUUGAAGAAUCAGCCUGCGAGUUAGUGUUACGUCGCGAGAUUGACCCGUUGUGGGGUAGUCGUAGCGAAAGCGAGUCUCGAUCGGGCGUUGUGAGUGGCGUGAUCUGAGCCCGAAGCGGGGUGAUCUACCCAUGGCCAGGUUGAAGCGCGUGUAAGAGCGCGUGGAGGACCGAACCCACUUCAGUUGAAAAUGGAGGGGAUCAGCUGUGGGUAGGAGUAAAGGCCAAUCAAACUCCGUGAUAGCUGGUUCUCCCCGAAAUGCAUUUAGGUGCAGCGUUGCGUGUUGCUUGCUGGAGGUAGAGCUACUGGAUGGCUCAUGGGCCUACAAGGUUACUGACGUCAACCAAACUCCGAAUGCCGUCAAGUUGAGCGCGGCGGUCGAGACUGUGGGGGAUAGCUUCAUAGUCGAAAGGGAAACGGCCCAGACCAUCGACUGAGGCCCCUAAGCGUGUGCUAAGUGGGAAAGGAUGUGGAGUUGCUUAACAACCAGGAGGAUUGGCUGAGAGCAGCCACCCUUGAAAGAGUGCGUAAUAGCUCACUGGUCAAGUGAUUCCGCGCCGAUAAUGAGCGGGGCUGGACCGCCGAAGUUGUGGCAUGACACCGUAUAGCUGAGCCGUUUGCUGGUUGAGGUGGUGUUGUGGGUAGGGGAGCAUGGUUGGGUAGUGAAGCUAGGGGUGGCCCAGUUGCGACUGGAACCUCAACGAGUGAGAAGUGCAGGCAUGAGUAGCGAUAGACGGGUGAGAAACCCGUCCGCCGGAUGAUAAGGGUUCCAGGUACGACUAAUCUGCCCUGGGUGAGUAGGGACCUAAGGCGAGGCCGACAGGCGUAGUCGAUGGACAAGCGUUGAUCUCCGUACCGACAGAAGAACCGACCCUACUGAACCGGGAUCUCACCCACCGAACCGCCAGUGACCGUGUGCCCUUGUGGUACGCGGGGUGUGCGGGGAGCGUGGGACCUGAUCCCGGGGAGGUAAACGUGUUAACAGGUGUAACGCAGGAAGGUAGCCGAGCCAGCAAUGGUUGUCCUGGUCUAAGCAUGUAGGGUAACCAUUGGUAAAUUGCCGCGGGUUGUCUGCCCUGAGUGUGAUGGGACUCUUCUUACCGGUGAGGAAUUCGGUUGAUCCUAUGCUGCCAAGAGCAUCGACGUGAGGUUCUAGUCGCCCGUACCCCGAAACCGACACGGUGAUCAGGUAGAGAAUGCUAAGGCGUUCGAGAGAAUCAUGGUCCAGAUCGGCGAGAUCCCCCGUAACUUCGGGAGAAGGGGGGCCCUGUCUGGUGAGCACACGUGCUGUGAGCUGGGUGGGGUGGCAGAGGCUUAGGGGGAAGCGACUGUUUAUCAAAAGCACAGGUCCGUGCGAAGUCGUAAGACGAUGUAUAGGACUGACUUGUGCCCGGUGCUGGAAGGUUAAGGGACCUGUUAACCCUUGGGUCGAAGCGGAGAAUUUUAAGCCCCAGUAAACGGCGGUGGUAGCUCUAACCAUCCUAAGGUAGCGAAAUUAGCUCUGGGUGAGUUCCGACCUGCACGAAUGGAGUAACGACUUCCCUACUGUCUCGACCGUGAACUCGGCAAAUCCAGGUGCGGAUUGAGGGUCCUUAGUUUCGCGCAGCAGACGAGAAGGCCCGAGACCUUUACUAUAGUUUGGUAUUGGUGUUCGGUGUGGCUUGUGUUAGGAAUCCAGUGGGAGAACUGUGAAGCUAUCACGCUAGUGGUGGUGGAGUCAUUGUUGAAAUACCACUCUGGUCACUCUGGACAUCUGACUCGGCCCGUGAUCCGGGUCAGGGACAGUGCCUGAUGGGUAGUUUAAGUGGGCGGUUGCCUCCUAAAGAGUAACGGAGGCGCCCAAAGGUUCCCUCAGCCUGGUCGGCAAUCAGGUGUUGAGUGUAAGUGCACAAGGGAGCUUGACUGUGAGAGUGGACAGCUCGAGCAGGGACCGGUCGGACUGUGGCAGCGAUCCGGCGGUGCAUUUGUGGAAUGGCCGUGGCUCAACGGAUAAAAGGUACCUCGGGGAUAACGGGCUAAACCUGCCCAAGAGUCCAUAUCGACGGCAUGGUUUGGCACCUCGAUGGCUCGUCGCAUCCUGGGGCUGGAGUUGGUCCAAGGGUUGGGCUGUUCGCCCAUUAAGACGGAUACGCGCUCGGUCAGAACGUCGUGACGAGUUCGGUCCCUAUCCGCUGCGUGCGUUGGAAAUUUGUGGAGGCCUGUCCUUGAGUACGAGAGGACCGGGACGGACGAACCUCUGGUAUGUCAGUUGUUCCGCCAGGAGCAUCGUUGAUUAGCUACGUUACGGGAUUGAUAACCGCUGAAAGCAUCUACAAGCAGGAAGCUUGCUGGAUGAUUUCCUAACCCCCACGAGGGGUGUGAGGUGCCCCAGUAGACGACUGGGUUGAUAGGCCAGGUGUGGAAGCGUUGCAAGGCGUGGAGCUGACUGGUACUAAUACACCGAAGACUAUACACAC
rnacentral:rRNA from 1 species